GCUUGAUAACGAUGACGGUGCUGAAGAUUGACGGGUUACUUUCUAAAACAAUGAUAUAAUAGAUGAUGUUUAAGUACCAUUCAUUUAUAUUUCGGCCGGAUUGACUGCAGAAGUUUUAAAGCUGUGUUUGGAGAUUGUUUCGCUUAUUGAGCUGUUUGGUUUCCUUUUACAGCGAAAGACCGUGAGCUGUUCAGUUUUCAUGGAGCUACUUGUGGCCAUUUCCUGUGUUUAAUAUAAGCACCUCAGAGAGUACAGCAAUUCUGGAAUAUGAUUUAGUAAGAAACCCAAUGUUUUUCUGUCUUCUGGCUUUUUCAGGUGUAUACUACUCUGGUGCCUCGUGUAUAUAUACUUUUGGGCUCAUUGGAAGCCGGGGAAACAAACCGCUUUCAGGACCUAGUACAUUCUUUCAAUCCUUCUCUUUGGUGGUUACUCAUCUGCAUUUUGGUUAGUGCAACAGUUUCUUUUGUGGUGGAUCCAUACAUGUACCAGAGAUGGAACAGUUUUUAGUUGCUUGAUCUAAUAUUUUUCCUCAGAGCUUGUGUCGUUUAGCACUCUGGAUUGUGGGGACUACCGAUCCAAGUGAAGAUUAUACCUACACUUUGCAAAAUGGACUGAACUUGCGACUAUAAUUAUUUGUAUUCAAAAGACAAUGCCAAGAGUCCAGGUGGAGGAGAUUAACUGAAACGGAACUCCUAGAAUGUGCUCAGAUGGGAAAGAGAGAAAGAAAGAGAAAGCCUUCACAGGGCCACAGGAAAUGGGGCUCAACUUCUCAUGCUGAUAAGGCAACUUAGCAGAUGCUGCUGCAGGGCCACAAGCUUCUCUCCGCUGCCAGGAUCUGCUCACUGACAUCCACGCGAACACGAGUUCAAUUCAGAUACAUCAGAAAACAACUGAAGCAGAAUCAAACAAAGGCAACCUUUCUUCUCUGGGGUCUUUCUCAAAUUCUUCCAGCUUCGGAGCUUGAGCGCUUAAGAGAAUUUUAGAAUUAGGGUUCCCUGUCUGUUAUGGAGAAAUCAAUUAAAACCCUGAUUUUUAGGGUUUCAGGGUUCGCUCGCCUGCUAGUAACCCAAUAAGAAGGAGUCUGCCCCAUUUAGCAUGAUCCCCAAGUUUAUGUUUUCCAUGUGGACUUUAAUCAACCAAGGCAUCAUGGCCUCAACAUUAUCAUUAUAGGGGGAGUAAAGGUACUAGUCUUGGAUUUUGUAUUGAGGAGAUUUUGAAUUGAAAAAUGAAACCCAUUUUUUAAUACACGUGUACUCUAAAUAAUUUUGUGUGAAAAAGGCUGCCCAAUUUGUAGA